rnacentral:rRNA from 1 species
UACGGAGGGGGCUAGCGUUGUCCGAAGUUACUGGGCGUAAAGCGUGCGCAGGCGGUUCGUUGUGUCUGCUGUGAAAUCCCCGGGCUCAACCUGGGAAUGGCAGUGGAAACUGGCGAGCUUGAGUGUGGCAGAGGGGGGUGGAAUUCCGCGUGUAGCAGUGAAAUGCGUAGAGAUGCGGAGGAACACCGAUGGCGAAGGCAACCCCCUGGGCUGACACUGACGCUCAGGCACGAAAGCGUGGGGAGCAAACAGG